GUCUUCCUGUAACGCUUCCGAAUAAGAGGUCCGGUCGAAAAGAGUUGAAAGAUACGAAAUUAGGUGGUCGUUGGAAUCCUGAUCGCAGUAAAGUGGUCCUUGGUAACUGCUCGAGUAGAACAUGUCUGCAUCCGCCAAUAGUCCGCUAAUAGGGAGGGCUGUGCGAUUAAAGGCUUCCAUCGAUUGGGUAGUGUCCUUCAAGUGGGUGGCGAAGAGCCAGUCGGGCAUAUGUCAUGAAGGUUUCUCCGACCGAUUAAUGGUUUGCUGCUUGACUAGCCUAGGGAAAUAAUAAUAAAGGAUCUCAAAGAUUUCAUGAGACAAGCUGGGGAAGUAACGUUUGCGGAUGCACACCGACCUAAAUUAAAUGAAGGGGUGGUUGAGUUUGCCUCUUAUGGUGACUUAAAGAAUGCUAUUGAAAAACUUUCUGGAAAGGAAAUAAAUGGGAGAAAAAUAAAAUUAAUUGAAGGCAGCAAAAGGCACAGUAGGUCAAGAAGCAGGUCUCGAUCCCGGACCAGAAGUUCCUCUAGGUCUCGUAGCCGAUCCCGU
rnacentral:sRNA from 1 species